rnacentral:lncRNA from 1 species
CUUGUCUUAUGACCACCUCAGAGGUUCCAUUCCUUCCUUCUGAUUUGUUCGGUGCUACUACGUCACAGGACAAGGACCGAUUUGGAGAUGGCACCUGUCUUCCUUCUCUCCUGUGAAGUCUGAAGACAUAAGCAAGCUUGGAGAGCUUUAUAUGGAGAACAAGGUCAAUACCUGUUAUCUGUCAAGCCUGAUACUCCUGAGAACAAUGCAUCUACAGUCACCUGUACCUUGAGUGUGGAGAAAAACCCUGUCAAUGGUUACAUCCCUUUGCUGAUUGCUUUCGCCGUCUUGAUCGCUGGGACCCUUCUCUACUGUCUAUUAUCCUACAUAUUCAAGUAAGUUAGUGUAUGUAUUUCAUGUGUUACCCAACUCUCCCUCUUUAUUAUUGUGCUAAGUAA